GUCCGUCGAUUCUGCCCAUCCUAAGAUGGGCAGGUGCCCAUCUUAGGAUGGGUGGAGGGGGUGCCCAUCCUAGGAUGGGAUAGGUUCGAUUGAUGGAGAUCCGGUUUUUUCGUUUUCCCGCCGAAAACGUGCUUUUAUAGAUUUAUAAACGUGGUUUAUAUUAUACUUUUUUUUUCUUUCUUUUUUGGGAGGGUGGAUCCGAAGUACAGUAGACAUUACUAGUCCGGACGAGUCAGAGCGAGGGCGAUUCACGGCUUGGUCUGGAACGUAAACAUUUUUCCGAAAGCAAGCUUCUUCUCCAAAAUUCGAAAUUUCCUUCCAAAAAUGCCGUCGUCCUUGACCUCGAAGCUGAAUGUUGUUAGGAUAGAAAAUUAGCGAAGAUGUAGCCGACCCAUUCUGGCAAGCCGUGUGCCCUCUGGAUAUGCAGUUGUUCGCCAUGGUCAACAAUCUUCUUCUCCUUCGUUCGUACUUUCACUUUCCUGACCACGAAUACAAGCGGUACCCAUGCUCAGGAUUGUAGCCAGGGUGAAUACCAUUAUCAUGAGCGAAGGUCUCUGAGAACCCAUGUCUGAAAGCUGGUCAUGUUGGCCCAACGAUGACUUUCAUUGCCUGUAUCCGCCGCCUUCAUACUGGAAUGAACUGGAACAUGUUCACUCUCUGUUUCUCAUGUAGAAGGACGGAACAGAUUGUUUGUCUGUCUCUGUGGAUCACCGAAGGCUGAACAGUACAGUUGGAAGAAUAUUGGAUCUCACGAAGUGACUGAAUCUGAAGCGGCUGACAUGCAUCUGCACAGCGCUUUCUUUCUGAGAUUUGCUUCAAGGCAGGUUAUUGUGUACAAUUUUGUCCACAGUAUUCCUAUAUUUGCCAAACGUAUUUCUCUGAUAGUAUUGUGACUACACACGCGCAAUGAUCUCUCCAUCAUCAGUCUUUCGCAAUGAUGUGGCUCACUGAUGACAGCAUGCAUA